rnacentral:lncRNA from 1 species
UGGGAUGCUAUUGCAUAGUUACCGUCAUGCUGCUAUGCACGAAGAUUGAUGAAGUAGUUGCAAGUAAAGUAGCCACCAUGCUCAAGCCAUUUAUUGAGAGAUUCAUGGCCAGUUCAGCUUUGGUGGUGGAAUAGGUUGAGUGAUUUAUUUCUGUUAUUGAGAGCUAGUAUUAUAUACCACAACAUUUUCCCAUCCAUACUGUAGUGAAAGCAUUCGAUCUUACCAUUUGUUAGAUGAAUCAGCUAUCCUCAAGAAACCUAACGUUUAUUUUUUGACCCACCUGAAGGACAAAGUUGAAGAUCGCUCUGUGGAGUCCUCGACAUCUAUAGACUGAGGUAAUGAGAAAGGAAUCCUACAGUUGAAUGUAGCAUCAGGGC